rnacentral:rRNA from 1 species
GACGAACGCUGGCGGCGUGCUUAACACAUGCAAGUCGAACGGUGAAGGGGUCUGCUUUUGUGGGCCCUGGAUGAGUGGCGAACGGGUGAGUAACACGUGAGUAACCUGCCCCCUUCUUCUGGAUAACCGCAUGAAAGUGUGGCUAAUACGGGAUAUUCUGGGUCUGUCGCAUGAUGGGUCUGGGAAAGAUUGCGCCUUUGGGUGUUUUUGUUGGGGGAUGGGCUCGCGGCCUAUCAGCUUGUUGGUGGGGUGAUGGCCUACCAAGUCGGUGACGGGUAGCCGGCCGGAGAGGGGGGACGGUCACACUGGGACUGAGACACGGCCCAGACUCCUACGGGAGGCAGCAGUGGGGAAUAUUGCAGAAUGGGCGCAAGCCUGAUGCAGCGACGCCGCGUGAGGGAUGGAGGCCUUCGGGUUGUAAACCUCUUUCGGCAGUGAAGCAGGCCUGCUCCUUGUGGGUGGGUUGACGGUAGCUGGAUAAGAAGCGCCGGCUAACUACGUG